rnacentral:misc_RNA from 1 species
AUAACUUUUAGACUCUGUGAUUUUCUUAUACAUGUGAUACGAUAUACAAGAAGAAUUAGAAAGGAUGGUGUGAGCUGAUAGACAUAAAUAAAACUAAGAAUCCAUGUUGCAUACUUGCAACUUGCUCAAUGAGUAGCUUUGCUCAUUUAAUUAGGUAAAUAUGUUAUGCAAGGUGUUUGCUGUUUAAGAAUCUUUGAAUUGCAAUAAAAAUACAAUUUGUUUUGUAUGUAUCUCUCUCCUUUUCUGUGCAACUAAUUUGAACUUCACAUUCUUGCUGCUUCAAAAUAGACAUUGUGGUACCAGGUGACAG